GCCCGGGCACAAGCGGUGGAGCAUGUGGUUUAAUUUGAAGCAACGCGAAGAACCUUACCAGGCCUUGACAUCCAAUGAACUUUCCAGAGAUGGAUUGGUGCCUUCGGGAACAUUGAGACAGGUGCUGCAUGGCGGUCGUCAGCUCGUGUCGUGAGAUGUUGGGUUAAGUCCCGUAACGAGCGCAACCCUUGUCCUUAGUUACCAGCACGUUAUGGUGGGCACUCUAAGGAGACUGCCGGUGACAAACCGGAGGAAGGUGGGGAUGACGUCAAGUCAUCAUGGCCCUUACGGCCUGGGCUACACACGUGCUACAAUGGUCGGU
rnacentral:rRNA from 1 species